rnacentral:rRNA from 1 species
UGAUAUAUUUAUAGCAUGAAUUUGAUAGGUUAAUAAAUUUAUAACAGAAAUAUCUAAUAAGUAAAGUAUUAUUUAAAGAAAUUAUUUUAUAUGGCUAUAGUUUAGAAGUACUGAGAAGGAAAAUUUUGUAAUUUGUGUUUAGUAGAAAUGAAAGUUCGUACCUUUUGCAUCAUGAUUGUGCGAGAUAUAAAUAUUGAUAUAUUGUCCCGAAAUUAUGUGAGCUAUUUUAUAACUUAAGUCAAUGUUGCAAAAUUGUUUUUAGAUUAUAAAAUAGAUGUGAAAUGCAAAUCGCACAUAAUGAUAGCUGGUUAACUCAGAAAUAUAUGGAAGUAUAGCUUUUUAUUUUCUAAUUUUGUUUAAACAUUAUUAGAUAUUAUAAAAGUCCCGUGAGAGAAUACAAGUUCUUUUAUGAUAUAAAGAAUAUUGUAUAAAAAUUAUUAAUUAAAGUAGGCUUAGAAUUUGCUAUCUUCAUGAGUUUGUUUUUAAAAAAAUGUUUGUAUUUAAUAAUUGUUUUUACUCUUCUUAGAAUAUAUGGGUUUUAUAGUUUUAAUUGAAAGAAACUAAGAAUUUAUGCAUAAAUUAGUAUAUUGAUAUAUGAUUGAUAUUUAGCUGGAGAUUAUAAAAUUUAGGUUAAGUAAUUAGUUUUUUAGCAUAGGAUUAUUCUAAGGAAUUCGGCAAAAUAAGUCCCGCCUGUUUAUCAAAAACAUCGCUUUUCGUUGAAGUAAAAUGAAAAGUAGAGCCUGCCCAGUGAAGUAAAUUUAAACGGCCGCAGUACCCUGACUGUGCGAAGGUAGCAUAAUCAUUUGCUCUUUAAUUGGGAGCUGGAAUGAAUGGUUUGACGAGGGCUUAACUGUCUUAGAUUAAUUUGUUAGAAAUUGACUUUUAGGUGAAGAGGCCUAAAUUAGGCUAUAGGACAAGAAGACCCUAUUGAGCUUUAGUUUUUUACUUAAAUAAAAGUAUAUAGAUAGAGUUUAAUUAAGUAAUAGAUUUUGAUUGGGGCGAUCAAGGAAAAAGGUAAUCUUCCUUUAAUGUUAUAUAAGUUAUAUGAAUUGGUGAUCCAGGACUAUUCUGAUUAUAAGAAGAAGUUACCAUAGGGAUAACAGCGUAAUCUUUUUUGAGAGUUCUUAUCGAAAAAGAGGGUUGCGACCUCGAUGUUGGACUAAGGUGUCCUGAAGGUGUAGCAGCUUUCGAGGGUUGGUCUGUUCGACCAUUAAAACCUUACAUGAUCUGAGUUCAGACCGGCGUGAGCCAGGUUGGUUUCUAUCCUUAGUUUUAAUAAAGCUUUUACUAGUACGAAAGGAUCGUUUAAAGCUAAUUGUGGGAUUAGAGAAAGUAAGAUUUAGGAUAAUAUGAUAAUGAAAUUGUUUAAUAAUUUA